rnacentral:misc_RNA from 1 species
GAUGAAGAACGUAGCGAAAUGCGAUAAGUAAUGUGAAUUGCAGAAUUCAGUGAAUCAUCGAAUCUUUGAACGCACAUUGCGCCCCUUGGUAUUCCGAGGGGCAUGCCUGUUCGAGCGUCAUUACACCACUCAAGCUAUGCUUGGUAUUGGGCGUCGUCCUUAGUUGGGCGCGCCUUAAAGACCUCGGCGAGGCCACUCCGGCUUUAGGCGUAGUAGAAUUUAUUCGAACGUCUGUCAAAGGAGAGGAACUCUGCCGACUGAAACCUUUAUUUUUCUAGGUUGACCUCGGAUCAGGUAGGGAUACCCGCUGAACUUAAGCAUAUCAAUAAGCGGAAGA